AGGUGGUACUGGGUUGUUACAAUACCAGUUGAAAAAAAUUCAAAAAGAGAGAUGUGCAUUUGCAGCAUAAUUGGGCAUAGUUUUUUUUGUAUUAUAUUUUUUUAACGUGUAUGUGUUGGACCGGCUCCUUGCAUUGGCUUGUAUAUAUAAUGUCAUGAAGAUAAGUGGAUAAAAUUGAGUUUAGCUUGCACUAGCAGGCAUAGUCUUUGCAUUGAUUGGGGCUGCGAGUGC
rnacentral:lncRNA from 1 species